UCUCCGUUGGUGAACCAGCGGAGGGAUCAUUACAGGACUCGCAAGACUCCUUUCACCCUGUGAACUUACCUAAAAAACGUUGCUUCGGCGGGUGCCGCAGCGGGGGGGUCUCCCCCCGCCUAGGCGCUAAGCCCGCCGGUGGCCUUCUACACACUGUCUUUAUACUGAAAAUUCUCGAGAAAAAAAAACAAGUUAAAACUUUCAACAACGGAUCUCUUGGUUCUGGCAUCGAUGAAGAACGCAGC
rnacentral:misc_RNA from 1 species